rnacentral:rRNA from 1 species
UACGGAGGGUGCAAGCGUUAUCCGGAUUCACUGGGUUUAAAGGGUGCGUAGGCGGGCAGGUAAGUCAGUGGUGAAAUCCUAGAGCUUAACUCUAGAACUGCCAUUGAUACUAUCUGUCUUGAAUAUUGUGGAGGUAAGCGGAAUAUGUCAUGUAGCGGUGAAAUGCUUAGAUAUGACAUAGAACACCUAUUGCGAAGGCAGCUUACUACGCAUAUAUUGACGCUGGAGGCAACGAAAAGCGUGGGGAUCAAACAGG